ensembl:lncRNA
UUGCUCGGGAGCUGAAUCCAUACGAAGUGGGGCAGCAGCUCUUUCAAGACAGCGUGGGCCAUCUGAUGCCCCGUCCUGCCCUAGUGUGUGCUCUUAAACGCGCGGAUGCUCUGGCUUCACUGAGGAAACUCUUACCACAAGAUUACCCCGGGGACCUCAGUGUCCUGAUGUCCCCCACGCUUUCAGACAAGCCCCCCUGUUCUUCUUUGAGCACGAGAUGAUUGCUGGUAGGUUUGAGGGCUGCAUACAACAUGCGAUCAGAUACUGAGUCUAAAACCAUUCGAGUCUUUUGAGUCAAGCGCCAGAUUGAAGAAUUAUUUAAGAAGAAAAGUCUUGUGUGUGUCCGACGAGAUAUAGUUUGUGCAGCACAGGGCAUUGUGCCAAAUGAUAUUAUCAUAUUAAUAGCUUACUAAGUUACAGUGAAUUCUGUUCCAAGUUGAUGCGAUAAUAAAGAGGAUUCUGUUCAGACCUUCAGAUGCUGGUCACUUUGUGCCUGUUCAAGCCAACAAUCUGGAAUCACUCGCUGGCUAAAAUAGCCCACAAACUGCAGCUGUGUGGCCUCACAAUGGUGGGCCUGCGUGUGUUGACCCUGGAUAAACGCACUGCCACCUCACUACUGCCUGCACAGAGUGACCCCUCGGACUUGGAGGCCCACGUGGGGUACCUGUGCUCCGGCUCCUCAUUGGCUCUCUGCCUCCGGGGGGAAAAUGCUGUAAGCAGGCUGCUGGAUGCGCUGGACCAAGAUGUCUCGUCACAGUGGACCCAUCGUGGCGUGGCUCAUUCAUACAAUGGCAUUUAUGGUCAGUGCGCGGUUCUACUAGUGCACACUGCUACACGAUUAAGAAGUGCAUUGCUAUGUGUGCAACAGCACCGGUGUAUUAUGCAAAGCCCUUUGAAUUACCUUCAACUUGUCUCACGGCCCUGUAUGAUGAAACAGCCUGUAACCAAUU